UACGGAGGAUGCGAGCGUUAUCCGGAUUUAUUGGGUUUAAAGGGUGCGUAGGCGGAUUUUUAAGUCAGCGGUAAAAUGUCCGGGCUCAACCCGGGCCGGCCGUUGAAACUGGGGAUCUUGAGUGGGCGAGAAGUACGCGGAAUGCGCGGUGUAGCGGUGAAAUGCUUAGAUAUCGCGCAGAACCCCGAUUGCGAAGGCAGCGUACCGGCUCCACACUGACGCUGAGGCACGAAAGCGUGGGUAUCGAACAGG
rnacentral:rRNA from 1 species